AAGUAAUGAAGUAAUAAUUACAUUUAGUUUCGACCUAAAAUUAGAGUUUUAGCUCCUUACUUA
rnacentral:tRNA from 1 species